rnacentral:rRNA from 1 species
CUACGGGAGGCAGCAGUGAGGAAUUUUGCGCAAUGGGGGAAACCCUGACGCAGCAACGCCGCGUGAGUGAAGAAGGCCUUCGGGUCGUAAAGCUCUGUCAGCAGGGAAGAACCGCCAUGAUGUGAAUAGUGUCGUGGUUUGACGGUACCUGCAAAGGAAGCACCGGCUAACUCCGUGCCAGCAGCCGCGGUAAUACGGAGGGUGCAAGCGUUAUUCGGAAUUAUUGGGCGUAAAGGGUGCGCAGGCGGUGUGUUAAGUCAGAUGUGAAAUCCCGGGGCUCAACCCCGGAACUGCAUUUGAGACUGGCAUACUUGAGUAUGGUAGGGGGAAGCGGAAUUCCUGGUGUAGAGGUGAAAUUCGUAGAUAUCAGGAGGAACACCAGUGGCGAAGGCGGCUUCCUGGACCAAUACUGACGCUGAGGCACGAAGGUGUGGGUAGCGAACAGGAUUAGAUACCCGCGUAGUC